UACGGAGGGUGCGAGCGUUGUCCGGAAUCACUGGGCGUAAAGGGCGCGUAGGCGGCUCAUGAAGGCUGUGGUGAAAGUCCGGGGCUCAACCUCGGAUCGGCCGUGGCGACUCGUGGGCUGGAGCACUGUAGAGGCGGGUGGAAUUCCGGGUGUAGCGGUGGAAUGCGUAGAGAUCCGGAAGAACACCAGUGGCGAAGGCGGCCCGCUGGGCAGUGGCUGCGCUGAAGCGCGACAGCGUGGGGGAGCAAACAGG
rnacentral:rRNA from 1 species